UACGUAGGGUGCGAGCGUUAAUCGGAAUUACUGGGCGUAAAGCGUGCGCAGGCGGUUUUGUAAGCCAGAUGUGAAAUCCCCGGGCUUAACCUGGGAAUGGCAUUUGGGACUGCAAGGCUUGAGUGCGGCAGAGGAGACUGGAAUUCCUGGUGUAGCAGUGAAAUGCGUAGAUAUGCGGAGGAACACCGAUGGCGAAGGCAAUCCCCUGGGCCUGCACUGACGCUCAUGCACGAAAGCGUGGGGAGCAAACAGG
rnacentral:rRNA from 1 species